AAGUCGAGCGAACAGACGAGGAGCUUGCUCCUCUGACGUUAGCGGCGGACGGGUGAGUAACACGUGGGUAACCUACCUAUAAGACUGGGAUAACUCCGGGAAACCGGGGCUAAUACCGGAUAACACAUGAAACCGCAUGGUUUCAUGAUGAAAGACGGUUUUGCUGUCACUUAUAGAUGGACCCGCGGCGUAUUAGCUAGUUGGUAAGGUAACGGCUUACCAAGGCAACGAUACGUAGCCGACCUGAGAGGGUGAUCGGCCACACUGGAACUGAGACACGGUCCAGACUCCUACGGGAGGCAGCAGUAGGGAAUCUUCCGCAAUGGGCGAAAGCCUGACGGAGCAACGCCGCGUGAGUGAUGAAGGUCUUCGGAUCGUAAAACUCUGUUAUUAGGGAAGAACAAGGAUGUAAGUAACUGUGCAUCCCUUGACGGUACCUAAUCAGAAAGCCACGGCUAACUACGUGCCAGCAGCCGCGGUAAUACGUAGGUGGCAAGCGUUAUCCGGAAUUAUUGGGCGUAAAGCGCGCGUAGGCGGUUUUUUAAGUCUGAUGUGAAAGCCCACGGCUCAACCGUGGAGGGUCAUUGGAAACUGGAAAACUUGAGUGCAGAAGAGGAAAGUGGAAUUCCAUGUGUAGCGGUGAAAUGCGCAGAGAUAUGGAGGAACACCAGUGGCGAAAGCGACUUUCUGGUCUGCAACUGACGCUGAUGUGCGAAAGCGUGGGGAUCAAACAGAUUAGAUACCCUGCUAGUCCACGCGUAAACGAUGA
rnacentral:rRNA from 1 species